rnacentral:lncRNA from 1 species
CUAAAGGUAUCCAGAAACACACUGAGAUGUGGAAACUAUGAUAGUAUACUAUCUAGUAUAUAACAUCUAAAUACACUGGAGCUUCUCACCAUUCAUUCUGGGAUGUGAUGAGAAAAGAAGGAAAUGAGAAAUGGAAAUUCCGGCACUGAAAGGCAAGCUCAGAGCAGACUGAGAGGGAACUAUCUCUACAUCCUGACUAUUGAAGGUAAUUCCUAUGGAUGUUCCCUAGAAUACCUAAGAAGGUAAGGAUAAGAACUUCUCUAAGACACCUGUAACUCUGAGAAAGUUUCAGGAAUUUAUGAAGAUUAGAAAGGUAGUCAUAACAUCUUUUUAUCUUUUACCUAAAUAAGUUCUUUCUUGGUUGUAGAUACAAUUC